rnacentral:lncRNA from 1 species
UCUCCUCCGCCUCCCGCACCACAUCGGGACCAAGAGUCAUCUUCUCGCCCACAUUGCUCAAAUGGAUAGGAGAGCGACACUUCUUUCCAUAAAGGGUCUCGAAUGGCGCCAUCGCGAUACUCUCUUGAUAACUAUUAUUGUAUGCGAAUUCCGCAAUCGGUCGAUAAUCGUGCCAUCCGCCCUUGUAGUCAAGUACACACGCCCGAAGCAUAUCCUCAAGAAUUUGCAUUGUCCUCUCCGAUUGACCAUCACUUUGGGGAUGAAAUGCCAUGCUAAAGUCGAGCCGUGUGCCCAAAGCGUCCUGUAGGCUCCUCCAAAAGUGAGAUGUGAACCUCGGGUCUCGAUCCGAUACAAUAGACACCGGAACUCCAUGAAGUCUCACAACCUCGUCGAGAUAUACUUGAGCCAACUCGUCUCCGGACCACGUGGUAUGAAUCGGUAAGAAAUGAGUCGACUUCGUCAACCGGUCCACUAUUACCCAAAUUGCAUCGUGUCCGCCUUGAGAUCGAGGCAAACCGGUCACAAAAUCCAUUGCGAUAUUUUCCCAUUUCCAAACGGGUACAGAUAAACUUUGCAAUUUUUUCGCCGAAAACCAGCGCUCUGUUUUGGCUUGUUGGCACGUAAAGCAUUGCGCCACGAACUCUCCAAUAUCUUUCUUCAUGCACGGCCACCAAUAGUGCACUUUCAAAUCUUGAUACAUCUUGGUGCCGCCCGGGUGUAUGCUAUGGGAGAUUGAUGCGCUUCUUGCAUAAUCGCCUUUCGAAUAUCCUCGCUUUUAGGCACACACCAACGAUUUCUGAAUCGAAGCGCGCCAUCGGUCCCAAUGCCAAAAUCAUCGGCACUACCGUUUUUGACUUCACCGGGCACCUUUUGGAGAUAUUCAUCGGAAGUUUGCAGCUCUUUUAACCUCUCCAACAAGGUCGGUUGCACAACCAAUGCGGCAAGAGUAGCCGGCACUCCCGAAGCUACUACCUCAAGACCAAGCCGUUGCACCUCCUUUUGCAAUAACGGUUGAGGUGUGAUCGCCGUAGCCAAAUUUUCUACCGAUUUUCUACUUAGAGUAUCGACCAUGACAUUUGCUUUUCCGGGGUGGUAUAGAAUAGUAACAUCAUAAUCUUUUAACAACUCUAACCACCGCCGUGUCGCAUAUUCAAUUCUUCUUGGGUGAACAAGUAUUUGAGACUCUUAUGAUCCGUAUAAAUCUCAUAAUGCUCACCGUACAAGUAAGGCCUCCAUAACUUUAGCGCGAAUAUCACCGCGGCUAGCUCAAGAUCAUGAAUCGGGUAGUUUUUUUCAUAACUCUUCAGUUGGCGCGAAGCAUAUGCAAUGACUCGCCCAUUUUGCAUCAAGACACACCCGAGACCAAUAUAUGAAGCAUCACUGUACACAACAAAGCUCUCCCCCGGCAUUGGUAGAGCAAGCACCGGGGUCGAUGUCAAUCUCUCCUUUAACUCCUCGAAGCUCCGAUCGCAAUCGUCGCUCCAAACAUACUUCACUCCUUUGUGCGUAAGGCGCGUUAGCGGAGCGGUUAUUUUGGCAAACCCUUCCAUGAACCGCCGAUAGUAGCCCGCUAGUCUAAGAAAACUGCGAACCUCCGCAACAGUCGUCAAGCGAGGCCAAUCUUUAAUUGCCUCAACUUUCUUUGGAUCGACCGAGACUCCAUUGCCCGAUAUCACAUGGCCUAAGAAAGUGACCUUCGAAAGCCAAAUGUCAUAUUUCUUCAACUUGGCAUAAAAUUUCUCUUUUCGGAGUAUUUGUAGCACUGUUCUCAAAUGCUCCUCGUGCUCCUAUUCACUCCGCGAAUAGACCAACACGUCGUCAAUGAACACCAAGACGCACCGGUCCAACAACGGUCGAAAGAUUCAAUUCAUCAAGUCCAUAAAUGCUGUCGGGGCAUUAGUAAGCCCAAACGGCAUCACCGUGAACUCGUAGUGGCCGUACCGUGUACGGUACGCCAUUUUGUGCACAUUCUUCGGCCGGAUCUUCAACUGAUGAUACCCUGAUUGAAGAUCGAUUUUCGAAUAUACCCGUGACCCUUGCAACUGAUCGAACAAAUCAUCUAUCCUCGGCAACGGGCACUUGUUCUUGAUUGUCACUUUGUUCAACUCUCGGUAAUCCACGCAGAGUCGAAGUAUGCCAUCCUUUUUUCUUUACAAAUAGCACCGGAGCUCCCCAUGGUGACACGCUCGGCUUCACAAAGCCUAUAUCGAGCAAGUCUUGCAAUUGUGCUUUUAACUCUACUAGCUCCGCCGGUGCCAUUCUAUACGGAGCCUUCGAAACUGGCGCCGUCCUGGGAACCAAGUCAAUGACGAACUCGAUCUCUCGAUCCGGUGGCAAUCCCGGUAACUCCGCCGAAAAUACAUCCGGAAACUCGCAUGCUACCUGAAUACUUUCAAGUUCCGGGUGCUCCCUUUAAGCCUCUUCCAUUGUCGCCAAAUAGGCCACACAUCCACCUUUAAUUAUUUUCCUCGCCCUCGCCGCGGAUACGGUCGUCGUGAAGUGCGAGCUUUUACAUACGCGGUAUACUAACUCUUCUUGAUUAGGCUCACGAAAUGUGAUCACCUUGCUCUCACAAUCAAUGACCGCAUAAUACUUAGAGAGCCAAUCGACCCCCAAGAUUACAUCGAAAUCCCACAUCUGCCGGCAUGAUCCAAUCUCCUAUCUGAACUGGACAAGCCAAGCACUCCUCAUGCACACUAAAUGAAUGCUCUGGUGCAUUAACCGACCAAUAAUCCGAGUUAUGUAAUAUUUCCAUGCCAUGAGUUUUAGCAAAUAAUGCACUAAUGAAUGAAGGAGAUGCACCUGUAUCGAAUAAAGCUCUAGUUCUAGUGCCUUUAAUCAAGAUAAUACCUACCACGACGUCAUCUGGUACUGCAGGCUGCUCCUCCACCUGAGUGGCGAAAACCCGUCCAGUAGGUGCUCUAGAUCCCUCCGGCUGACGCGGUGCUGAUGUGCGUCCAGCCGACAUAGCUGGUAGCAACCCCGCAAGCUGUCUCGGGGUAGAAGGAACUGAUGCCGCCGUCGGAACAGACAACGCCCUACUUGGGCACUCCCGGGCCAUAUGCCCUGCUUGGCCACACCUGUAGCACUUUCCCUCGCGUUGCUAGCAAGCCGACGGUCGAUGCUCACCGCAGCAAAUAACGCAUCGGGAAGGCCUCCAAUUCCUUGACUACUGUCGGGGAUACCGAGGGGGUUUCUUUGCAUUUGGCCAGCCCCCGGCACCGCCCGCUGCUCGCCGCCCGUUUCUUUCCUUUGUCCCUCAACUCCGCCAUAGACUCGCGCUUCUCUCGCGCAUAGGCGUUGCCAUGCUUCGCCCACAAUGCUCGAUCAAAGACCUCCGCGAAGGUCGUGAGCUUAAGAAUUUGCACGGCCUUGUAAAUCUCCGACCUAAGUCCUCGCAAGAACCAGUCGGUCCGGUCCCGAUUAUCUCGAACUACAUCCGAGACACAAUCAAUGAUAUGGGAGAACUCCUGCUCAAACUCUCCCGCCAACUGGUCUCCUUGCCUUAGCUUGCGAAAUUUUCCUUUCAACUUCCGCUUCACGGUGUCGGGGAAAUAGUUCGCGAACAUCAACCUUCGAAACUCCUCCCAAAGCAUAGGUAGAAGGUCGCAAGAUCGAUCUUGCUCCACCGGCUUCCACCACGCCUUCGCCGCCUUCUUUAGGCAAUGAGUGGCGAGGUGCACCUUGUUGAGGUUCCCGAACCGGCCGGCACCGCUGUGACCGGCACAGCUGCCGCGGCCACUACCUCAGCUGCGCUCGGCACCACAGCAGGGGGCGCAGGGUGCUCGGCCCCUACUUGAGCCGCCGUCGCUUGUUGCCGCUCUAAGGCCUCUUGGAGCCUUUGAAUCUGCUCCCAUUGACGCUGAACAAACUCCGCUUGCUGCUGUACUACCCCAAUAAGCGCGGCUAUUUGCUCCUGAAGCUCCCCGUCGCCACUUGCUCCGGGUUGCACAAGAGCCGCACUCGGUUCCUCGGGCAUCGACCUCGUUCGGGGUCGACCACGAGACAUUGCUUCCUGAAAUGAAGCAAUUCACAUUAAUUAACCAACAUACUCGAACAUACCCAAUCCGGCGAAAGCAAACAGUGUAUUUAUUUUCAUUCUAAAGCAUUAUGUCAUCAGCCACCGAUCACAACACAAGGAAUAGAGAACAAAUAUGAACUUGAAUUAGCCCCUAACCACAUUAGAGACUUACUAACAUUAACCCAAUCACAAGCUUUCGCUAUAUUUAAUCCCACGUCACUGACGUUUCCUAGAUCCCUAGGGUUUUCCAUUCCUAAGGGUUUCUAGGUCCUUCCUAUACUUUCACUUUUAGGCUCUGAUACCAUUAUAUCUGUCAUGCCCUGCGACCGAUCCUAUUUGGUCGGUUCGGGCACGUCGAACAGACGCCAAACGGACAGCACCUCCCCUAUCCGCCCUAAGGCUCAACAACAAGUAUAAAUCAAGUAGAGAAAUUUGCACAAGCAGAAACAUACAUAAUUGGCUUGCACGAUGGUAAACAAUAGUCAAAGUGAAAGUACUAACUAAACAUGUAUAUAAGUAAUAUGAUUAUCUUUUAACCACAUACAUGCAUUCAACAUUUGAAUUCUAUUACAUUCUUUUGCAUCAUUUCUUCUCUUUAUACAUUAUAUGUUUCUCAAAAUAAACCUUUACAUUUAACAUCAGUUAAACAUCUUUAAUACAUCUAUAUCAUCAAAAUUUAAAAGAUGAUGUAAAGGGUAUGCAACUAAACCAAAAUAUGAAACCCACUCGGGUGGUCUCUGUCUAUGGCGCGAUACCUUUACCGUGAUCGUCGGCCGGCUCACUCGGUCCCGGCUUUGUAGAAAAAGGGGGGUGAGAACUACAACGAAGUUCCCAGUGGGUUCGGCCGCCGACCUCGCCAACUUUCCCACUAGGUCUAAAUCAGGCAUAAUAGAAAAAUAGGUAGAUAAUAACGAACUAAACAAAUGCAGCUAAUAUGCCUGAACAAUAUCAUCGAUGAUUAUGCUCAAAUAAAAUGCUCAUAAUGAAUGCAAGAUUCAUUUUCCAUUUCUAGGUCUUUGUGGCUAACCCGUAGGUUUCGCCUCAACCAACUACUUGCCAAUUCCGAUCCCUACUAUCGGGCCCUACGCUUCCUCCCGACGGGAUCAAUAGACUCACCAACUCAAAUCCCUAAUAUCGGGCCCUAAGCUUCCUCCCGACGGAACCGUCUUCUGGGGCUUUCCCUUCCCAGUGAUGACAACUCCGAAGCUCAUCGCUCGAGGGGGAGCGACCUCUUUCAAGCCAAGACUUAUAGGCGAGUAUGAUCUAUCCUUAACUUUAAGGAUUUCCAUGUCCAAUCCAAUCCUUCACUAUAAGGAUGCAAUGCUCAUAUAACCUUUGCUUUAAGGUUGCUAUGUUAUAAUAUCAAUUAUCUUCCUUUACUUGCAUUCUUUAACUUUCAUUAGUGUCAUUUACACUACAUGUUCUUUUUACUUAUUUACACGCAUUCAUUAAUGCCACACACACUAAGUGUUCAACUCUAGCAUUCAAACUCAUUGAUGCCACUCUAUGUGUUUAAUAAUGCUGUCACGCCCCACAACCGCCAAUUUGGUCGGUUGGGGCACGUCGAACAGACGCUGAACGGACAGCAUCUUCCUUAUCCGCCCAAGGCUCAACAACAGAAUCGUGUACAUUUUUGUCCCCAGGAUGACAUACAACAUACACGAAGCACCACAAGUGCAAUACAAGCAAGAGUAUGAAUCACAAGUAACAUACCAGUGAACAAAAGAGAGAUAUAUCUGGCUAUUACAUUUGACAUUCAAUAUUUACAUCACACUUACAUUUUCAUCUCCCAAAAUGUAAUACAUGGUUUACAGGCUCAUCUCCAAUGUACAUCCAAAAUAUAACAACAUCUGUGUACACGGGGGUACCCUAAUGCAAGUAAGGAAAAGCUACUAACUACUAGGGCGCUACGCCCUUACCGCGGUUCUCGCCCAGUCCGCUCGAACUCGGCCCUGCAACAAAGUGGGGUGAGAACUAUAUAAAUAUAAUUUCUAGUGGGUUCGGCCGCCGAUUCCGCCAAUCUUCCCACUAGGUCUAAGCAGGCAUAAGCAGAUAGAUAGAUAGAUAGGUAGAUAAAAAUGAACUGCUACAUUCUACUAUGCCUUCAAAUGCUAACCAUGCAUGAAGUGUUCAUCUAGCAACAAACCUACUAUCAUGCUAGUAUGCUUCAAUGAUGUCAUGGAUAUAAACACAAACAUAGUUAUGCAAUCUAUUAAUAUACACUAUGUCUAUUCAAGGUAUGAAUGCAAGUCUACUAUGCCAUUCACAUUUACUACCCAAUCUACUUGGCUAACCCGAAGGUUACGCCACGACUCACUUCUCAAUCUCAUAGGUGAGGAGAAUUUGUACUCGCACACCGAGACCGUCUGCGGGACAACUACGUCUGCCCUUAUCGUGAAGUACUCCGGAGACCACUAUUUGGGUGGAGCGACCACGCCAAAUGCAAACAGACUAGUGAGUAUGAUCCAAUCCUCACAAGAGGACACCCUAUCUACAAGGGUCAUAGUGCUUCUACCGCAUUGAUUCCAAAUGCACAAUUCAAUAACCGAAAACUCUACUAUCCCUAGAAUCAUGUCAUCAUGUGUCUCUACACUAGAUUUGAUGCCACUCGUUCAUGUUAUAGUGCCUCUACUACACUAGUUCAAUGUCAAUUGAUAUCAUUAUCUCAAGUUCAAGUCAUCACUUAUCUUGUCACUAUCGGAUUCAUGUCAUAACUAAUCCUCAUGCACCCUAAGUUCUUGUAUCAAGCUCAUGAUGCUACACUACUAAGGAACAUGCAAGGAAAAAGAAAUGUAACUAUACUAAACAUCCUAUAAUGCAUAAGUAACCAUAGGAGAAUAUGAUCAAUACUGUAACCGAGACAUAAGGAAAAGUCAAACUGCUUCGGGAUGACACCCCCCACCUUCUGGUGAUGCCGCAACUAUAGUUCCAAGUUCUGUGAUUUUUGGACGCUUUCUCGGCCUUCCAGGCGGGAGCGAAGCCAAAAAGGUCCUUUUCUUCGAUAUCUCCGCUCAAACUCGACGGAUUGCCGAACCGAGUUCACCAGCGCGUCAGGAAACCUAACAAUUAGGUUUACAUAGGGUUAAAUUAGAUCAAACCCCAAUGUUUAUCAAAACCCCAAUCGGAACCCUAACAUACAGCUAUCGCGAGAAGUCCUCGUACAACUUCGCGAUUCGAGCGAUAACCAUCUAUUUAGCAUCCUAGGAUUCCAUCUAAACCAUUUCUAGAGUAUACAAUCCAAACCCUAGAAAUCCACCAUUAAUGCUCAAGAGGCUUACCUUGCUAGCUUUCUUUCCUUGAGCUUAGGAAGAAGAAGAAGAUGAUCACCCACCUUCUUACUUCAAUCUCCACCAAAUCCCUAUCCUAUUUCCCACCUUCAAGAGAGAGAGAGAAAGAGAGCUUAGAGAGAGAGAGCGCGUGUGUGUUAGGGUUGCUAAUGUAAGGGAGAAGAGAAAUGACCCAAAACCCCCUUCAAUACACUCUCCUCAUGUAACAAUUGCUAUAAACCCUUCCAACUUCCUUCUACUCACACUGCCCAGACUGGGCAGUUUUUGGGUACGGGGACCGGUCCGCCUAGGGAGGGUCCGGUCCCCGAGAGCAGAAUACGCGCAGAGCAGCUGUCUGCCCUUUUUUCCAGGCGUAUGGGGUUCGGUCCCUGCUGGGGAGACCGGUCCCCGAGAGCACAAAAACUCUGCAUAUGUGCAGAUUUGCACUAGCUUGCUCUCCAAGGCCCUCCACAAUGCACUAAAGCCAUUUUUGACGCCUUCGGCCUUUCCAAAGCAACCCGAACCAACUUCCGAUCAAUUUCGAUCAAAGUUCGGAUUCACGUUCCGAGAUUUCAUUUCCUUACAAAUGCCACACAAUCCAUAUGUCAUAAUGUCAUUUUGUUCUUUACCUCAUCUAGGUCUUUGUCACCAUUCAUGCAUACAUAGGGUUUCCACUAUAUUCAACAUUCUCAUAUGCAUCUUUAUACUACAAGUAUGCAAAUAAUAUAUAUAAAUCAACCCUACAAUGCACGAAGAUACUAUACAUACAUAUGCUCAAAAAUAAUACUUUAGACAUAAGAGGAAAUCCAAUGAUUUCGAAAAUCACCACCCACCUCGUAUAGUUGUAGAGGUGCUACGGUUCAAUUCUUGAAAAUUUUGGGCUCCUAUUCUCUCGCCUGCGGUAAAACGAAGCCAAAUUAGAAAUUUUUCCCAAUAACUUCGCGUAGACUCAUCGGAUCUUCAAACCGAGUCUCCCAACGCGUCGAAAAUACCCCUAAUUAGAUUUUCACAAGGUAAAUUUGUCUUGAAACCAACCUAGAACAAAAGCCCCAAUUUUAGUGCCCUAACAAUGCCAUUUAACAAUAUACCUUGAUUUGAUCUCUAAGACAAGCAAAAGCAAGCUUGUUCAACCUCUAGGAACUCAUUUAGAACUAUUUCUAGGUCAUUUGAACCAUCCUUAGGGCAUUCAAAGCGAACCCUAAAAAUCCACCAUGAGAGCACAUGAAGAAACAUGGAUUUUCAUGUGUUCCAUGGCCUCUACUAGGUUUCUACUCUUAUAAGAAAAUCAAAACCAAAAGAUUUAGAGUAUAAAACCAAAGCCUAGCAUCAUUCUUACAAGAGAACUCACCUUCGCCCACUAGCUCUGCAAUGUCCACCUUAUAAGAGAGACCUAAACCCUUCAAAGCUCCAAGGAUCUCCUCCAAUCCUCUCAAAUCUCCUCCACUUGGCUCCUUGGAGAGAUCUCUAGAGAGAGAGAGGGAGAGAAAUGAGUUGGAGAGAUGUUCUCAGCUGGGAACAAGAGAAUAGAGGGGUUGGGGGUAUUUAUAGGCUGCUACAAUUACAAAUAAGCCCUCCAUUUCUUUUUAAUUGCAACAGACCAACCCUGCUGCGAGGGGCACUGCGUACCAGUACACUGGUCUUUGUCACCGGUUACACGAUUACGCAGAGACUAACCCGAGAGCUGCUCCUCUCGGCCAGCAGUCUGGUACCGGUACCACUCGAUUUUGUCACCAGUUCAACAGUCAUUUUUUCUCAAACCCGAGAGCUGCCUCUCUCGGUCUGAUGCCUGGUACCGGUACAACCCUGGUGUUAAACCGAUUACAAAGCUCCAGAAUUUCAGUUUUGCAUUGUUUCGAUUCCAAUUGGCGCCGAGCAAUGCUAAUAGCUUUCUUACUAUUUUGGAACUCAACUUUAACCUUUCCAACAUGGUUGGAAUGUUAAAUGGACUUUAUCCAACUAUUUCUUUCGGACACUUUGGUCAAUUUGACUAAAGUCUGAUAUACUCUACCGAAGUUUCGGUAUAUUACAGCUAUGCCCUUUCCUCGCACUGACAUGCCGUUCACGUAUGGACUUGAAAAAUGUGGGGUGAAAACUAUAUACAUAGUUCCCAGUGGGUACGGCAACCCAAGGAAAGAGCUCGAUCCACCAGGUUCAAAGGAUGAGGCACUACAAACAUGUUAGUCCAAUAUGUAUAAACAUAAAAUUUUAUGCAACUAACAAAAUCUUGUUUAUGCCUCACAAAAUGGACCAGUGCAACCAAUGCAAGUAGAUCUAACGUUUCUACUUACUAGUUCAUAAUCCAUAUCUUUUACCAUUCACUCCUAAGGUUCCUUUACCUUAGCCAAGAUAUACCACCCGAAUCGGUCUCAAGUCAAUCACCAGCGGAUUGCCGCUCACAACCAGGGCUGAGGCGAAGGACGUUUCACAUGCACCUCAGCCUUAAAACCACUCGACAGUGGGUCAUCCGUCAGGCGAGGAAACACCAUCAUACCCUUGACCAUAAGUUGCAUACCAGGCGAGAAGAACCACACAUACCCGCAGUUAUGAUUCACUUGUCGGGCGAGGAGAACCACACAUACCCAGAAGUAUAAACUGCUGCCGAGCGAGGAGAACCACACAUACUCGUAGCCACAAAUCUUGGGGAUUCCGGAAUCCACUUCUCAAGUCUCAAGGGUUCGACACAUACCCUAUGUUGUCAACCUUUCUAGGUUGAAGACAUUCACAUCCUAGUGGUCAUUCUACCACUAUGUUCCAUAAGCUAGGUUCUACAAUACUAGGUCCAAUGUGCUUUCCCACCUAGGUUCAUUCGACUCUAGGUUUAAUGUCCAACCUAUAUUAAAUGACACUAGGUUUAAUGUCCAAUCAAUUAUUUUGUAUCCUAGUUGUCCACAUCUACGAUUCAUAGUUUUCAUACCAUCUAGUCCUUAGUACCACACUUGUCAAGUUCUCUAAUUUUUCUAGAGUUCAUCAAGCUAUGUUCACAUUCACAUCUAGGCAUACAUAUACAUAUCCUAUAUGUUCCGCAUGCCUAUGUUAUCAUCAUCCAAUGGUAGGUAAUUUCAUCUAGUAACAUGAUAUAAUAUUUAUAUUAACCAUAUACAACCUACCAUUAUGUACAUGCAUCAAUAAUAAACCAUACUUUACUCUUUUGACAUGGAAGCGACCUAGUCACUUCGAUGAAGAACAACCCACCUUUCAAGUUUUCUAAUUGCUUGUAGACACUUGCAAUUAGACCAACCACUUGGAUCUCCAAGCUUACUCCCAAGCUUUCCUUGCCCUAUACAAGAGACCCACUCGUUACCAUUUUCGAACCACUAAAUGAUUUCUCUACUUGAAAUCAAAUAGCCUCACAUGAUUUUUCAACCCUCAAUUAAGGUUCUAAAGGGUAAAAAUACUUUUAAAACUCUCUACAAGCAAAUCCCCCUUCUUAACCUAGGGUUUUCCCAAAGAUAAAGGAGAAACCCAAAUUUCAUGGUAAAUCCCACUAUUUGUGGUCUAGAUUUACCUAGGGUUCACCAAAAUCCUAAAUCUAAGGAUUAAGCAUAAAACCCUAAUCUCAUGAUUCAAAACGAACCUCGAGUCGGAAGCGUUCUGAGCCACCAAGCACCCGAGAGCUCGAAUCACCACUCCUCCAAGCUUCCCGAGUCCGAUCUCUACCAAGAUCGCCGAGUCGGAGAGGAUGAAGAAGAGAUGGAGAGAGAUGAGCUCCUCCUCUCUCUCUCUAUACAUGUGUGUGUGUAUAUUGCUGGAGGAAAGGGGUCGGGGACCCCCUUUUUAUAAGCCCCUAUGCAAAAUUACACAUUUACCCCUCAAAAACACAUUCUGCCAGGCUAAGUACCGGUACUCGGGUUCGUGUACCGGUACUCGGGCGGCCCAGUACCGGUACCCUGCUUCAGUACCUCAAAGUUCGAUAGUUAACAUUCUUAGUUUUCCACUGUGUACCGGUACCCGAUCCUAGUACCGGUAUCCAAUACAAAUCCAGUACCGGUACCCGAGCUCAGUUCCUCAAAACCCGAGAGCUCGAAAUCCACAUUUUGUAUUGCGUACCGGUACUCAGAAUCCCAGUACCGGUACUCAAUACAAAUUCUACAACUUAGGCAAAUUUCAGCUUUUCGAGUCCGUAUUCGAGUCCAGUUUGCGCCGAAAAUACUCAAAUGCUCUCCAAACUUCGCUAGAACUUAUUUAAUAACUUUUUUAACCUAGUUCCCACCAAAACUUCGUAGUGUAGAAAUUUGGUAUAUUAUAUAUAUAUAGAGUAAAGCUACUAUGCUAUCGGAAGUAUAAGGUAGUUGGUGCUUCUGAAUUUUUAGCCCUUGGAUCAACCCUCUUGAUCAUUUUUAACCAUUGGAUUAAUAUUAUUACCUAAUGGGGACCACUCAACCCUAGGGGGACCACUCAACCCUAAAGGGACCACUAUCAUCCUAACUAUCACGCCCCGAGCCCAGCCAGUUUGGUCGGGUUCAGGCCCGCCGAGAGACCGCCGAACGGACAAAGUUUUUCCAGUACGUCCUAGGCGUCGCAAUCAAUACAAUAGAAGGGUUCCAACUAGGAACAAUAUUUAACAAUCAGAUUGCACAAGAAAGUACCAAAAACAUAAACAGCUAACUAUUACAAGCAUUCACAUACAUGCUUUUACAUCUCAAUUACAUAUUCCAUUUAACUUCUAAAUUACAAUCAAGUUAUUACAAGUUUAUUACAACUUUUACUCUUUCCUUCCCUCUACCUCUAGGCUAUGCCGACUCGGGGUAUCUCUAUCUCUGGUCUCUAUGGUAGGGCGCUAUCUACGGAGCUACACCCUUGCCUCGCGCCGCCGCGCCACUCACGUGCAAGCCUGUAACACCCCAAAACAACGUGGGGUGAGAACCAACUCCAUGGUUCCCAGUGGGUACGACCACCCAAGGAAAAAGCUCGACCAAUAGUUCUAAGGAGGCACUGGAACAUGUUAGUCCAAUAAUAUACAACAGAUAUAUAUGCCAUAUUGAAAUACAUGACAUGCCUCACAAUAUACAAUAUGGAAUUCAUACAACUAUGCAACUAUGCAAUUCAGGUAGUAGUUCUAUUGACACUACUUUCAAUCUUGCCAUUUAUAGUUCAUAUCAACUAGCUCUAAGGUUGCUACUUACCUUAGUUCCACAGCUCAACCUCAACUAGUGUCCAAGGUCUCUACUGCCUUAGAUCAUAUCAUAUAUCACUAGCCUUUAAGGUUACCACUAUCCACCCGACUCAGUCUUGAGUCAAUCAUUCGCGGACUACCACGCACUGGCUGCUCAACAGCCUGUCGCCCUCUGUGACUUAGCCAGUUGGCGGCGAAAUCGUCGCACACGCCGAACACUGGUUCAAGUCCCUUGACUUAGCCAUUUGGCAGCGAACUAAUGGCACCUCACCCAACAAUUGCUCAAGUCAAUCCUGGCGGCCUAAUCUACAAACCGGCUUAACAAUCUGGCGGCGAAAUCGUCGCACACGCCCAGCCAUGGUUCAAGCCUUCAGGCAGUGAUCUCUGCAUACUCACCCCCAAUCCUCACAUGGUAUCAACCUCGACGGCGAAAUCGUCGCACACGCCCUAGCCUUGAUACCAAGGUCAUCACAGAUCUUGGGAUUCCAGAAUCCACUUCCACAGGUCGAGGGUCCAUAACCAACUCUAUGCUGUCGACCUAGCACAUCCUAAUGACUACUACCACUAUACUCAACAACCUAGGUUCAAUGCCACUCUAUGUUUACCACAUGUCAUAACUUAGGUUUCAAUACUUUAGGUUCUAUAUCAUUACUACCUAGAUCUCAGCUUUUAGGUUCACUUGUUCAACCUAUGUUUACUAACAUUAGGCCGAAUAUCAUCUAUGUCCGACCUAUGUUUAUUAACACUAGGUUCAAUAUCGCUCCUAUUCAACCUAUGUUCACGACACUAGGUUGGGUGCCACUCAUGAUUCGCCCUAGGUUCAACAACACUAGGUUCGAUGCCACUCAAUCUAUUCGACGUCCUAAUUGUCCAAGGUCGAGCCUUUACUCACUCUAGAGUCAUCGACCCAACUCACAUGCCUAUCCUCUCAAUGCUAAUCAUGCAUUUAUAUAACAUGCUCAUCAUGCAUUCUAUGAUUUCUACAUCAUAUCAUUAAUAUGCAUUCUUUUAGUAUUAACUACAUGCAUCAUCUAACAUUUAUAUGCAUCAAGAUAAAUCAUAUUUCGCUUAGACAUAACGGUGACCUAGUCGCUUCGAUAAACACAACCCACCUUAACUUGCUCUCCGAUUGUUUGUCGACACUUGCAAUCGGCCGCCCGCGGCACUCGGCACCCGGUUUGGCCCGAUAUCGCCGACGCUAAACAACCGUGCGUCGCCUCGUAGUUCUGGGAAUUAUAGGUCUUCAGUUAGUUGCCACGAUGUCCGGAAUCCGUUUUCAUAAUUUAUGGGCGUCGCCUCGGCCCUACAGGCGGAAACGAAGCUCGAACGUCCAUUUCUUCAAUAACUUCGCGUGGGCUUGGCGAAUCGCCGAACCGACUUCGCCAACGCGUUCGUAGACCUAGCAGUUAGGUUUACGGAGGGUUAAUUUAGAUCACAUCCAACUAUUUACAAAAACCCCCUUUUGGAUGCCCUAGAUGUUACUAACGCCAAAUCCACCAAAUCCUUUCGUGAAAUAGGUAUCAAUCAUCUAGGUAGCAUGCUAGGGUUCCAAAGAUUCCACUUAUAGAGCAUAUAAACCUCGUUCUAGAGAUCUACCAUGAGAGAGCUUGGAAGCUUACCUCUCCAAGAUGCUCCAAGCACAAGAAAGAAGAAGAGGAUGAUGAUGAUCCCCUUCUUGAUCUUCUUCUCUUUCUUUCUCUCCUUCUCCUUCUUUUUCUUCUCCUUCCUCAAGAGAGAGAGAGAGAGAGCUUAGAGAGAGAGUGUUAGGGUUAGAGUUGAGGGAGAAAUGAGAGAAGAGAGAGAGAAAGCCCUCGCUUAACCCCCUCAUAUGGCCACUUUGCAAAUAAGCCCCUCCACUAUACCAACAUCACCCUCCCCAUUCUGGGCAUUUUCGUGGUACGGGGUUCGGACCCUCAAGAUAGGGUCCGGACCCCAAGAGUUACAAAAGUGUGCACUUUGCACACUUGAGGUUCUUAAGCCCAAGAGGGCUUUUUCGCAGCUACGGGGUCCGGACCCUACAGCUACGGUCCGGACCCCUAGAGUGGUAAAACCUGCAAAAUUGCAGAUUUGCAACUCCAACUCUCCAAGGUCCUCCCUCAAUGCGCUUUCUGCAUUUUCAUCACAUUCGGACUCUCCGAAGCACACCAAGUCGACAACAAGUCGAUUCUAAACGAAGUCCAACUCUCGGAUAUCGAGAAUUCACUUCCUUACACUAACCGUACAAUUUUUGAUCCAAGGGUUAAAAAAUCGGAAGCACUAACUCCCUUAUGCUUCCAAUAGCAUAGUAGCUCUACACCAUAUAUAUAUAUAUAUAUAUANNNNNNNNNNNNNNNNNNNNNNNNNAAGAGAUCAAUCUCAAGAUUAGACCUCACUUUGACCAAACCCUAACAUAAGGUCCUUAUACAACAUCAUCUUCCCCAAUGUAGUCCCUAGCAUGAAUAACAUGGGGAAAGUUACCAUUUACCUCUCCAAGAAGCAUGCUAGAAGGAACUAAACCAAAACCCUAGCUUAAAACCAAAAAAUCUCACAUUUGGUUCAAACUCUUCCUUGUACACUUGCACAAUAGCAAGCAACACCCAUCACUUUGCCUUCUUCUCCACCUAGAUCCCUCCAAAAAGCCUCCUUGGUCCAAGCUCUAGAGAGAGAGGAAGAGAGAAGAGAAGGUUUUAGAGAGAGAGAGAGGGAGUGUUCCUUUGGUGUAGGGUUGAGAAAUGAGGGCUACAACACAAGCCACCCUCAUAUAUCACACCCAUACAUGCUCUUUUGCAUUUAAACCCCUCAAAAUUCCAUAAUUCACAACAGCCCUCACUGGGCAUUUCUCGCAUACGGAGACCGGUUCCUCCCCGCAGGGACCGGACCCCGAGAGCUGGUUUUCUAGGACUUAGCCAAUUUUCUCAAAUCUGGCAUUUCUCGUGUACGGGAACCGGUCCUUCCUUGAGGGACCGAACCCCGAAAGCUCAAAUUCUGGUACUUAGCUAGUUUUCUCUAUUUUUGCUCUCUUGGGUCCUUUCACUCUAUACCAAGGUUCUAAAGCACUUAGAACCCAUUGCAACUCAUCCGACUCCGCGCUCCGCUCGUUUCGACGGAAUUCAGUACGACUUACGGGUAUGCGAUAUGUUACACUUAAUCUAGCAUAUCUGAACUAUCUAGAGAAUAAAUUUUGCGAUUUUUUGAAAUCAUUUACCUACCGAUCAAAAGGGUUCAAAAUCAAUAAUUUUUAAUGGUUGAUGUAUAGCAUUUGCAAAUUUAACGGUGUAGAAGUAUUCAAACCAGAUAAAAUUUUGAUAGAAAAUUCUUUAUACUAUUUAUAGCAAUAUCAAUAUCUAUGAUCGAAAAUUUUAAUGCUAUAUCACCAUAUUUUGUGAGAUUUUUAUUUUCAACCGUUGAUUUUGAACCUUUUCGAUCGCUAGGUAAAUGAUAUCGAAAAAUCGCAAAAUUUAUUUUCUAGAUACAUCAAAUAUACUAGAUCAAGUCUGACAGAACUGAUCGUCGAUUCGAAAGCUCCAUUAUUGAAAACGGCUUAGGAGCACAAAGGCCUCCGUGCUCCUAAUAGCACACAAGACCUACUAUAUAUAUAUAUAUAUAUAUAUAUACUACUAUACUAUCUAUAGUACCGAGCUUCGGUACUAUAGUAUUGGUUUUCGAUCUUAGGGUGUUCAAAUCAACGAUCCACACCGUUAAAUAUGAUCUAGGGUAUAUGAAUUUCUUAGGAAUAAAAUUUUAUUUUUUUUCGAUAUCGUUUACUUAGUAAAUAAAUUAUAUCAAAAUGGACGGUGGAAAUUGAAUAAUCUUUAAAAUUUGAGCAUAGGACUUUUAAAUUCAAGAUCAAGAACGUUAACCUUAAUCUAUAUAGUUUAAAGUAUUUUCUAUCAAAAUUUGAAGAAAUUUAGAUUCUUCUACGCCGUUAAACCCCAAACUCGUCAUAAUAGCCAUUGAAAAUUGAUAAUUUUGAAAUAGUUUGAUCAUAAAAUAAACUAUGUCGAAAAAAUAUAAAAUUUUAUUUCUAGAAACUUUAAAUACCCUAGAUCAGUUUUAACGGUAUGGAUCGUUGAUUUGAACGUCCUAAGAUCGAAAACCAACACUAUAGUACUGGAGCUCGGUGCUAUAGAUAAUAUAGUAGCCUAGCUCUAUAUAUAUAUAUAUAUAUAUAUAUAUAUAUAUAUAUAUAUAUAUAUAUAUAUAUAUAUAAUUAUAGCAUCAGUAUAAUUUAUAAGGGUCAAUCGUAAGAUUUCACGCGAAUAAAAUCGAAAGGUGUAGGUCUCACAUUGUUUCAACCAAUACAAAAACAUUUUUUACCGACCGUCACUAGAACAAGUGGUAAAGGACUUGGUGGUUGGUACCCGAGACCUAAGUUCGAAUCCUAGUUGAUUCACAUUUCCAGCUAAGUUUAUUUUUAAAUGAAAUAAACGAAGCGAGUAGCGUGCUACCUAUCUCUAAAAAAAAAAACACAAAAACAUUUUUUAAGGAAUGAUUUUAUAACUAUCCCUCAAAAUCUUGAAAAUAUCACAAAUACCCUCCAAAAUAUUAAAAUAUCACGUGUCUCCUUUCAAUGUUAUUACAAUAAAUGCCCCUUUGUCACCUUCUUAGUUCAAAGCUAGUUUAUUACUAGUUAAUUAUUUUUUAAAAUAACGAUUUAACCUUUAGUUAUUUUUCAAGGUUAUUGUUGUUAUUUCAUAUCGUUUCUUAAUCUCUCGUUUUUCUUUUUUCUUCAUUGUUAUCUUCUCUGGUCCAGCUAGCGGAGCCCUCUCUUGAAACUUUAACUCGAGUGGAGCCUCUCAUGUGAGAUCUAUCUAGCAGUGACCCUACAUGGUUAUAUCUCAAAUCAAUCAUAUUUUUUAUUUUGUGAGAAAUAUAUAAUUUUUUAAAAAACAUCAUGAUGGGAUAAUGUGAUUGGUUAGAAACAUAGAUAAUGUGAUAUAACUGGUAUAUCUUACUUUUUUUUCUUUUGUGGAUCCUCUCAUACCCUUUCCAUUAUCAAAAUCAAUCCCCAAAAGUAAGAUGCACUCUCUUCCUGGUUUUGACUCCUCUUUUUUUUAAAAUUUGUUUAGAAUUUCUUUAGACUGUUCUCUCUCCUCAAUGAAGUCUCUAUUUAGACUUUUUCUCUGUGUAUAGAAAAUUUAAAAGACAUUAAUGAUCUGAUAGAUAAGGGCAAAAAAAUUAAGUAUUUCGUAAUUAUAAUGGCAAUUUUAGACAGAAUUGUAUUAUAACCAUUUAAAAGGGCAUAUGUAAUAUUAUUAUUAUUAUUUACAAACGCAUUAAUAAAAUUACAGUACAUAAGGGGGCAUUCAUUUAAUUUAAUUUAGAUGGCAUAGCAUUUCUCUGAAGUAGAUAUUAAAAAGCAACCUAUCUUAUUCAACAACUAUACAUGUGGAACCAAACCUAUCUUAUUCAACAAUUAUAUAUGUAGCCAUCCAAGCACAUAAUGUGUUAGCAAUCAAUAAUUAGUGUCUUAAUCAUGGAAAAAUAAUCGAGUAGGAUAAUUAAUAAUGCCACAUCCGAUUCGCAUCUUAUCCUUAUCCUGAUUUAGACCCAGCUUAAUUAUUCGGCUUAAUUAUUCGGCUUACUAUCAAGAAAAUGAUUGCCUUGAUUAUGAUUAUGAAUCGUACAAUAAUGCUGAGGAAAUUUUCUUAUUUAUUAUUCCAACAUGCAUACGUGCUCGUCAAGUCUUUGUUUCAAGUGGCAAAGGGCUUGGUGGUUGGUAUCCGAGACCCAAUUAAGUUCGAAUCCUAAUUGAUUCACAUUUCCAGCUAAGUUUAUUUCUAAAUGAAAUAAACGAAGCGGGUAGCGUGCUAUCUAUCUCUCUCAAAAAAAAAAAAAGUCUUUGUUUCAAGAAGCAGACUUAUUUUAAGAUUAAUGCACAAGCAGAUCAAGAGAAACGAUAUAUACCUUACUCCGAUUUAAUAUAUAGCUUGGUCGUGUUUAGUGUUUUUCUUUUAAUUAUUUACUCAAAAUCUUAUAUUUGGCCGUAUAAUUAAACAUCUUUUUAAUUUAUUCAAGAAGCUUGCAGAAUUUGAUAAAUGAGGAGUGUGAUCAAAUACAUAUCUAGCUUUCAAGUUCUUUUUUUUUUUUUUUUUUUUGAAAUAAUUAAGGUAAAUCACAUAUAAUUAGCUACAAAAAUACUAUCCUAUCAGAACCCUGAUGCUAAGAUCUUUGAAGGAACAAAUUAAACAACAUGUUCUUUGGUUUUGAUCAAAAUAGGAAAAAAAAAAAUUCUACCACUGAGUAAGUUAUUAUUGAAUAAUUUAUUCUUGGCGUCCAAACAAUACGAUAGUUUUUUUUAUAGAUAAUGAGUCGUAUCGAUCACCUUGUUUUUAGAAAUACAAACAUAAUCGUCCUUGAUGUUAUUUUCUUGGAAGUAGGUAAAAAACGCCCUACUAGGUGGGAUAUGCUAUAAUAUGAUCGAUAUGAAAUCACGGUCGGCAAGAUCUUCCGAGGAUCGAGUUACUAAAAUCAAACUUCUAACUUUUAAUUAUGAAAUGAAAUAUAAAAUCUUCAUGGCGCACAAGUUGUUAACGAGUAACUUAUCCUAAUGUUCAAAGUAGGCUUUAAUCUUAAGCAUGAAACUAGAUUUCUGUUCUCAACUGUAAUUAAUUUACUAAUGGAGGACAUCGGAAAAAAAAAUUAAGAAUGCAUAGGGGCUUGCUCAUGGGCCGCAUGUAGUAGCACAUAUUACUUAGAUUAAGGGCUAGGCCAUGUGUGAGGGUUUUGUUUUGUAAGCACCAAAGCACCAACAUGUGGCCCUCUUUUCUUGGGCUAAAAUAUUCUCUACACCGGAGACACUGUUCGGAAAUAACUGUUUUUUUUUUUUUUUUUUUUUUUUUUUUUUUUNNNNNNNNNNNNNNNNNNNNNNNNNUGAAGAAUACAAUGAAGUUCCCAGUGGUUCGACCAAUUCGACACUCGCCACUUACCCAUUAGUACUAUUCAUGGCAUAAGUGUUUCAAAGGAAAGGAAAUGUAACCAAGUAAUGUAAUAUUAUGCCUGCAAGAAAGAUGUCAGUGGAAUAUAUAAUCGAAUAUAAAUUGCUCAUGCAUGCCAUGCUUGUUUCAUAAUACUUUUGCCUUUUACCCAGUUUGCCAUUAACACUUGUUAACCCUACUGAACUCACAACCGAAAUCGCCUUAAUACGGGGACUCGAAACCACCCUAGGGGACCGUCCUCUAGGGACUUUACCACGCCAGUGUGACAAUCCGUAACGCACCGCUCGAGUGGGGACUCACAUCCCUCAGCCAAAGACUUAUCGUGAGUAUCGAUCCAAUCUCAAUUGAGGAUCAUAGCCACUUAGUCACAAUGCCAUUUGUCAUAAUAGGUUCUACAUCCUAUUUGUUCAUGUCACUUUCUAAGUCAAUACUUGUACAAUGUCACUAUGGUUGAAUUAGUUUAGGCAACCAAUUUUCUCAAUGCCAAUUAUGUUUCUAUUGUCUAACUACACUCUUUGUUCUACUAUGUCUAAGUCCAAGUUCACAUUCAUACAACUUUAGGGUUCUAUCCAUAACAUGUCCAUUAUGAGUCUUCAUUCUCUAUGUUCAACACGUUUAGAAGCCAUGUAAAUGAAAUCAAACGCAAGAUUCACAUGUAAUUUAACGCCUACUAUGCAUGAAUGACUAUACAAACACAAUUAUGCUCAAUAAAAGGUAAAUACGACAUAAGGGGAAUCCGAAUGAUUCCGGUGUGCACUCCCACCUUGAGUGGUAGUAGUAUUGAAAAAUACAAUGACUCCCGAACUUUACGAACGCGAUCAAGCGUCCUUAAUAUAUAGCAAAUAGUGCACAAUUAGGCCUAUAUACACAAACUAUACUUAGACAUUUUCGUUAAGUCGAACGGACGAUUGUCCAACGGAUCGGGAUUACCCCAGAAUUAAGGUUUCCAAGGUGUCAAUUUGCCCUCGGAACACCCGGGGCAUAAAGCCCAAUUUGGCUGCCCUAAAAUGCCAUAUUCGAAUUUCUCCUUAGAUUGAUCUCAACUUUAAGCAAAAUACUAGCUUAAGGAAUCACCUAGGAAGCUUCUAAUAUCAUAUUCCAAGAUACUGACACCAUCCUUAGGCAUGCUAACUAAUCCCGUAAUUAACCCCCAUGACGAGCCAGCAUGAAGAAACCAUGGGAUGUUCAUGGGUUCCAAGCUCUACUAUACUCUUAAAGCCUCUAAGAGUGACCAAAACUCCAAUCCUUAAGGUUUAAAUCCUAACCCUAGAGGAGUUUCAUGCACAAAAUUUACCAUUAAGCCUACGAGCUCACCAAGAUCCUUGCAUUGUUGGAGAGCCCUAAGAACGACCAAGCCUCCAAAAAACCCAUUCUCCACGCUCUUCUCCUUCUUCUUCUCUCUUCUACGAGAGACGAGAGAGAGAUAUAUAUAUAUAUAUGAGAGGGAUGUAGAGGUGCAGAGAAUGAGAGAAAGAACUUUCUCUAUCAGCUAUUCAUACCCUAUUCAUGCAUAUAUUGCACUUAGGCCCCAACUUUGCCUCUCUCAACCAGCCUUGCCUGGCAUUUUUCGGCGCUGGGGACGCCGGUCGCUCUGUCGGAGUGACCGGGCCCGAGAGCAAUUCCCGCAGACAGUACGGAACCGUGUCCUCUCCCAUUGGGGACGCGUUGCAUCGGGCGCGCUGCGCAACCAUCAGCUACGGGGACCGGUCCUUGCUCGAGAGACGCUGGUCCUUCGAGAGCAACUCGCACAGAAAUGCAGCUUCCGCAUUUUUCACGCGUACAGGACGCGGUCUUCCAAUCAGGGACGGUCCCGCGAGCCAGAAAAAUGCAGUCUUGCAGCAUGCUUUAGCCUUGCUCUCUGAAGACCUUUAUAAUGCCACUUUUGCUCUUUUUGACCGCUCUUCGGCCUUUUCCGAAGCGUUACAACCUGCGCACUUUGGUCAUUUUGAUAUAGUUCGAUAUUCGUUUACGGACGAGUUUCCGGUAUAACUUACAAAGUUAUUGAAUUUGUGAAGUAGAAUAGAGUAACUGCUGUAAGGAAAUUUAAGUAGAGUGACUAUCUAAGUAUCAUGAGUACUUAUAACCAAACCUUUAGCAUUACAAAGCUACCUAUAUGGACAAGUUGGAGUCGAAAUGCAAUGUUUAUAACGAUGUGAAUGAUGACUUACGUUUAAUUCCUUUUGUUCCUUUAUAUAAUGAAGAUUAGACGUGCUCAGAAGUUCAAAUCCAUUCCAACGGAAUCUACGCGCGCUAAUUACAAUAGGCGUCGUUCUAGCUUUAUUCACAUCGGACUCACAGGAGUCGAUACUUGUGAGCUUCGAGACAUUGUGUUCUAACGUUCGGUAUCCCUAUAGGUGGGUUGCUAUCCGAAAUCUUCGAAUCUCUCUUUAUGUCUAUGUCAUCUCGUUGAGCAUCUCUAUAUAUGUGCAAUUGUAUCAUAUUCAUGCAUUAUAGGGAAAGGGUCAAUUAUGCAAUUGAAUUCCGUCAGUGUUAAAGAACAUUGGGCACUAGAACAUGAACGCAGAACCUAUGAAUGUUGAAUUUAUUGAGGACUAAUGACAAUAGUAAAUUUGUGACAUCAUGCUAGAGAUCUUGUUGUAGCAUCGAGAGUGAAAUUGUAAAACUAGCACAAAGAGCUAGUUAGAGUAAAGUGUGGCAUUGUCAUGCAUUGGACCCUCUACAAAGAGCGAUUAGAUCAUACUCACAAAUGUCUUAUGUGUUAUAGGAUCUUGUAUUGGCAGUUUCGUGAAGUGAGUCGAGUCUUGAAGAACCGGUACAUAUCGCGAAGAUCGAAGAAUUCAAGAUUUCGAAGAAGUUGGAAAAUAACUCACGAUAUGAAUCACGAUGCUCAGGUAAAGUUUUAAUUCAUGUUAUGGCUGAUUCAUACUUAGUUAUAGGCAUUAGAAUCAUUUAAUCAAAGUAUAGUUGAUUAGAAAGUGCUUCGAAGUGUACGGAACUCGAAAUAAGCAAAAUCCAAAAAAUUGCAUUGUGUACCGGUACAGCUAAUCAAGCGCGUACCGUGUACAGCCACUGACUUGGCUUCGUAUUUCUGUUCGUCCUUGUGUAACCGGUGACAGCCUUUCGUGUACCGGUACACAGUGUAAAACCGUGAAAACUUUCUAAUUCGACUCCGAUUGAUUCUAAAGUCUAUAAAAAUAAGCUAUUGGGUUCUCUAACAAAGCAAGCAUCAUAAGAAUACAUGUUUUGAGAAACUCCUAGAGGCUCGGAUUUUAUUCUAAACCUAUUUUCUUACAAAUUAGCCUCUUUUAGAUCAAAUCGAGAUAUCGUUUUGCAUUCUCUAUAUGUCGAUUUGAUCUCCGCUUCGCUUGGAGUUUUCUUCCUUGGUUUUCUACGAUACUCCUAAGCAAUGAUCACCAUAAUCAUGAUCUCUUCAAUGACGGCGUCGUGGAUUCGGCGUGUUAUGACGCGGUUCGUGGAUUCGGAUCGUGGGCUCGUGAUAUCGAGUGCGUGGAUUCGCGUGAUUGAAGCUUGUGGAUUCGAAGUGGAGGCGUUCGUGGAUUCGUACGUGAGGGCGUGACAACCCGUGAGGGUAGCGCGAAGAUUCAUAGGAGGUUAAGAGAGGUUGAGUCCCGUGGACGGUACGUAAUCACCUUGUAAUCUUUUCUCUUAGUGAAUUGUUUUUUCGCGUGUUGGUCCGUGGUUUUUCUCCAAGUUGGAGUUUUUCCCACGUUAAUCUCGGUGUGCUUUUAUUUUUCGUAUUUAUUUUUAUUGCAUCGAGAUUUGUGGUUUUUUGGCCAUUACACCUAUUACACCCCCUCUAGGUGAUAGAUACAAUCUAGAUAGAUCCUUGGGCUCCUCAAACUUUCAAUUGUAUCAGAGGGAUCUAGAUAAAUUGUUAUCUAAUGGCCGAAGGUGGUAACAUUAAUCGAUCUCGUCCUUCGACGGACGAAUUAUGCUUAUUGGAAAGUUCGCAUGAGACUUUUUCUAAUUGCUAUCGAUAAGCGGUUUGGACAUCAAUUGAAUUUGGGUGAAACAUCCGAUAGAAAGGUCGAUAAUGUUGAAAAGCCAAAACCACGGAACAAAUGACGAAAGAAGAAAACGAGUCAUCUUCGUUAACGGCAAGGGCAUAAAACUCUAUUAUUUAAUGCAUUGUCUUCAAACGGAGUUUUACUCGCGUUUCGGCGUGUGAGACCGCCAAAGAAAUUUGGGAUACUCUACAAGUUACGCAUGAAGGAAUCAAGCUUAGUAAAGGUCCAAAAAUUGCAAAUGUACUAGCAAGUUUGAUUCAAUUUUUAUGGACGAAAACGAGACCUUUUACCGAUUACUAUACGCGUCUACAAACGUGGUCAAUACAUGCGCUAACUUGGAGAGAAAUCCCGGAUGCUAAAGUUGUGCGAAAGAAUUCUUCGAACAUCUUCCGGAACGCUUUCGCGGCUUAAAGUAGCGCGAUCGAAACGGUCAAACAUCCGGACGAGAUGAAAGUAGAAGAAUUAGUAGGAGCUUUACAAACGUAUGAAAUGACUUUUCCUACUAAUCAAUCUUCUUCCAAUUUCUCUAAAAGCACAGGGGUUGCAUUGAAAUCUACAAAGAGAAAGACGCUACGACUCGGAUUCCGACGGAGAUAUUUUCGCUUGCCGAUUUGAACAUCAAUUAGCCGCGUCCUCCACCGAAGAAAUUUCGCCGAAAUUUUCGAAAAGAAGAAUAAUCGCAAAAGGCUUCAUCGUCUAAAUCUUCAUCGUCUACAUCUAAGAGAGAAAAGCGUGCAAAGGCUUCGAAAGAAAAAGAUGUCUUUAGUGCGAGAUCCAAUGCUUCAAGUGCAAGGCUUACGGUCACAUUGCGACGGAUUGUUCCUUCAAAGCAGACGUAUAAACAAAAGGCUAUGCAAGCAAAGACGUGGGAAUGAUUCGACAUCAAGUGAAUCAUCGUCAAAGUGACGAAGAAAGAAUGAUCAAAUCGCCUUAUUUGCUAAUACCUUCGUCGAAUGUUGUGUUGUUUAUCCUCUAUCGCUACUAAUUCUAAUGUUUCUUUUUUCCUCGCAUGAUUCAUCGAGCGACAACAGACGAAAGCGGGAGGAUUCGAACGACGAAGAAUAUAGCGGAAGCUUACAAGCUACUUCUUAUUGAAUCAAAGAAGAAUGGCUAAAUUAAAUAAGAAGUUAGGCGUCGUUAUGUUGAAUCUUGAAGAGGAUAACAACAACUUGAAACCACGAACAAAGUCUCGAGGAGGAAAGGGAAUCAAUUUGAAAACGAAUUCGACCUCUCGGGAAGCUUAAUGAAGCGGAAUCAACGAUCAAAUCAUAUAAAGACAAGGUUGGAUAUUUUGAGCAACAAUUCGAGGAAUCAAACACAUCAACAAGUCUUUGACCGAUCAAGUUCGUCAACUUCAAUCCGACAUUCAACGUUUUUCUUCCGGAUCAAAGAAAUUGGACCAUAUGCUCGGAUUGGGUCAAACGAACAAGCUAGGCCUUGGAUAUGAACGGACAUAUUGUUGAGAAGGAUCAAACGACAACAUCUAAAGUCUCAACAACUUUAAAAGGCAAAGUGUGUCAUCGAUGUGGAGUUAACGGUCACAUCAAAAGGAAUUGCCCCGUGAAAGAUAAGAUAGAAACAAUUGGCACAUGUCUACACAUCGAUCGACACUAUCAAAACUCCAUUGACAUCGUCUACAACUCAACUUCUCCCCGAGGAACUUCAAAAGGAAAAUCCAAUUAGUCAGGACCUCAAAAGAAUCAGAUUCCUAAGCCUAAACGCCAAGUUCUACCUAAGCCUCCAGCGAAGAAAAUACCAACGAUUGAUCUAAAAUCUAGCAAACGGCACCAAACGUCGACAAGCCGAGAAAACCUAAGAUCCGACAAUUUGGAUCCGGAAAGGUGAUAUCUUUCCUUGCUCCUCGUCUUAGUCAUUGUGAUCUUAGUGUAAUGCUUUGAUAGGUGCUUGUUGCUUAAUUUUAUUUUCAUUGCAUUAACAUGUUUACGUGAUGUUUUUGGUGUUUGAAUUUUAUUGGUUUAAAUCUUUUGAGGAAAAGGUGUUUAGGAAUUCAAUUUUUGAGAAAGGGAUGAUUGAGAAUACUUUAUUUUGAGAAGAGAAUUUCUUUAAUGUGCUGUAAACGGUAUUAAUCUUCACCAUCAUAUUGAGUUAUAAAUUCAUAUUAAUUAUCGUUUUUACUCCACUUUUAUUAUUUUGACGAUAAUUUAUCUAUAUGAUUUUUAUUGCAUAAAUUCAUCAAAAUUUUUGAAAUCAAAUUUGAUUUUUUGAUGAUUAACUCAUCUUGGUUGUAAGUGUUGGAUAUGAUGCAAUGGAUCUUCUCUAAUUGACUAAAUUUGUCAAAUAUUUUCAAUUGUGAGAUUGCCUAAUUUAGGGGGAGUUGAAAUAUAAAAUAAAAUUAAAAAGGAGAAACUCCUAUGUUUUAAAAGAUGUGUAAAAGAGUUACAUCCAAAUGGAGUGUGAAAACUACACCACUUGUAGGAAAGAGCUACCACACUCCGCGUCGUCCGGCAAGUGUGUGAAGCUACCAAUGAAGAUUGAAUUGAGUAACCGAAAAAGGUUGAAAAAAAUGAAUAUUUUAGAAUUUUCGGAGUUAUAAGGUGUAAGUUGAAAAGAUGCUCAUAAGAGCCACCCCGUGCCAUAUUAUGUUAAAUCUCUAUUUUGAACGUGAUACGACAAAUUGGCUGUCAAUUUUGUUGAAUUUUCUAAAAAAAUUUUUUCAUCAACUUGCAUCUUGAUGGUUUUUGAAUUAUUAAAUCACUUUGAUAAUGAAAUUUUGAUGUUUUGAUGGAUUUUGAAAUUUUAUAAUAUCUUAUUUUCAUUAUUAAUAAUUUUUGGAGGUAAAAGCUUAAUUUGUUAUAAAUUUAAUUCAAAUUUGAUGGAUUUUUAAAGCAAAUUUUCGAAAACUGGGAUCGUGUACCGUACACGGAUUCAGUACCGGUACGGGUACUGUAGCCGCGGAUAUAUAUCCGGUUACAGAGCUUUUUGUUCUUUCUCAAAUUUGAACCAAACUUGUUUCUCUCUCUUUCUAAAACUCCCUGGUGUCUUCCUCUUCCAGAUCUACACAUUUCCCUCUGAAAUUUGUGUAGUAUAUUAGCUUGAAUUAAACCGUUCAUCGCAUUCAUGUUUAUUUUUCGAAAAAUUUCGAGUUCAUGCUUAGAUCUCUUGUUUUUUAUCGUUUUUGAGCAAUUUUUGCUGUUAGAUGCAGUGCUUAAGGACAUUAUCUUGGCUUCUAGAACACUUGAAUCACAUCAAAUCACAUUUAUUUUUCGCUGAUCCAUGUUCUAAGCUUUAUUUUUUCAUGUAAUUUCGGGAUUUUUUAUAAAAUGUCAUUUUUAAUGAAAAUUAUUGCAUGAUCUGGUUAGAAAUAGGACUUGUUAUGCAUUCUAAUAUAUUAGAAAUUUUUUCGCAUUUUUACAAGAUUUUUCAAAAUUUUUUCAUGCACGGCUAAUUUUUGUAUAGAAAAAUGGCGUUUUCAUUCAUUUUGCUUUUUGGUGCUAAUGGCUACGAGACGUGACGAGGUGGUGGGAGAGGUCGACGUGGUCCUCUAAGAGGACACGAACAACGGGAGAAGCGUCCGGCUCGGAUCCGGAUUAUCAAGAAAGUCCCAACCCCUGAAGAGGCAUAAGAACUAUUGUUCCAGCUUGACAAGGGCAAAAGGAAUAGCUGGCGAGUCCUCACGUGGCGGUGGUUCUCGUACAAGAGAAACUCGUCGAAGCGUGCUGCGGAGGUUCUCUCUGAGCGACGGGAUGUACAUGACAAGUCGUGUAUUGCGGAGCGUUAUGUCAACUUCACCGAUCUCAUUCAUGACGUUCCUGACUUUGGACCGGUUACUUCAGCGGGUUCCAUUGAGCCGGUUGGCAGAGUCCCUGCUCGUACUCCUUCUGUGUGGAACUCAUUCGUGAGUUCUAUAUUAGACGCGAAGGGUCUUAGCAGAAGAUGAGGAGACCGGGACAUAUGUUUUUGAGACAUUCGGUGGUCAACAGAAAUUGCCGUUACCCCAUAUACUAUUGGAGAGCUUCUGGGAUGAACGUAGACACUGCAGGUCUUCCUUAUACAUCAGGAGGAUUUCAGUCCUUAUCUCAUUGGAUACCAUUGUACGGCUGUCUGCAGAGCUGGAGUGCGAACGAAUCGAGCUUAUGUAGAGUCUAAGGAUCUGCGACCAGAAUAUCAUUUAUUAUCUUUGGUCCUGAGCUAUAAUGUGCAACACACGAUUGGGAAAAGCGAAUUCGUGGGAUCGUUUGCUUUACUGCUUCUUGGUCACCCGGAGCGAUCUCAUGGAUUGAACAUUACCAUUCCUUUUCUGAUAUUGGCAGCGAUGAUUCAUGUUAUUCAGGCUCUGCUCGACGAGAUUCUCCUUCCAUUUCCUCUUUGAUCACACGGAUUCUGCAGGACAGUGGAGUGGAUGUUUCCCUGUGACAAGUACGAUUAUGAUCUUGGUCCUAUUGAUGCUGUAACUUGGGCCAAGUCAGUCAGCACACUAAAAUCAUUUCAGCAAACAAAGGGAUAUCGCAACCAGCUCCUAGCCAGGCACCUCCACCUCGAGCAGAGCGUGAGGGAUCUUCUAGUUCAGGGGGAGUGAUUACUGUGGAAUCACUUCAUCACGAGGUGCGCUCUAUGAAGAAGAAAUUAGCUGAUCUUGCGAGAAAGGUGGAAAUGGGAUGAAGCGAAAUGAUGGAGAAAUGGAUGUAGCAUGAUGAUAUUUUUUGCUGAGCCUACUACUUAUACCAGAUCGACUUCACGACAUCCACUCAUUCCCAGUCUGGUGAUGCUCCUGAGGCUGGGGAUCUGGAGCUGGAGCAGGAGAUGAUGAUGAUGAUGAUUGACGAGGACACUGAGUGAUGUCUUCUUGGGCUCUCUUCUUGUUACUUUAUUAUGCUUACUUUCUAGGACGAUGUUUUAGUUAUGCUUGCUUAUCUUUCCUUUGCAUGUUCUUAUUUUUGUUUGGCCUGUACUAUGACUGGACUACAUCUUAUGCUUUCUAGUAUGUUUUCUCUUUUUACUUGCUUUCUUUUGGCAAUUUUUGACAAAAAGGGGAGAGCAUAGAUGAAGGGGGAGAGCAUGGAUAAACAGGCAUUAAACUGGAGCUGAGGAUGAUGAAUUCAAGAACAAAGGGGGAGAUGUGAACAUUGGAGGAGAAGGUAUAAGAAUUUAAGGCUAAUCAUUUUUGAGUGAUUUUUUUUGCAGGAUUUCAAGACUUCAGACUCCUAAUUGCGUCUAAGUCAUAAGAGUCUGUUUUAGAAGUUUGAUGUAUUCUGAGUUUCAUAUUGUAUUUGGAUUACCGCGAGGGGUUCGAUGUUUUUGGUGAUGACAUUGAACUUCGUUUUCUCUUUAAAUUGUAAUUUUUGAGUUUGUGUGAGUUUUGUCACGAAAUUGCCAAAGGGGAGAUUGUUAAGGAUUUUGUAUUGGCAAGUUUCGUGAAGUGAGUCGGAGUCUUGAAGAACGCGUACAUAUCGUCGAAGAUCGAAGAAUUCAAGAUUUCGAAGAAGUUGGAAAAUAACUCACGAUAUGAAUCACGAUGCUCAGUAAAGUUUUAAUUCAUGUUUAUGGUGAUUCAUACUUAGUUAUAGGCCAUUAGAAUCAUUUAAUCAAAAGUUAGUUGAUUAAAAGUGCUUCGGAAUGUACGGAACUCGAACACAUGCAAAAAUCAAAAAUUGCAUUGUGUACCGGUACAGCAAUCAGCGCGUACCGGUACAGCAUGACUUUGGCUUCGUAUUUCCUGUUCCGUCUCUGUGUAACCGGUGACAGCCUUUCGUGUACCGUACACAGUGUAAAACCGUGAAAACUUUCUAAUUCGACUCUCGAUUGAUUCUAAGUCUAUAAAUAAGUUAUUGGGGUUCUCUAACAAAGCAAGCAUCAUAAGAAUACAUGUUUGAGAAACCCUAGAGGCUCGGAUUUUAUUCUAAACCUAUUUUCUACAAAUUAGCCUCUUUUAGAUCAAAUCGAGAUAUCGUUUGCAUUUCUCUAUAUAUCGAUUUGAUCUCCGCUUCGCCUUGGAGUUUUCUUCCUUGGUUUUCUACGAUACUCCUAAGCGAAGGAUCACAUAAUCAUGAUGAGCUCUUUCAUGCACGGCGUCGUGGAUUCCGCAGUUUUUGACGACGUGCGGUUCGUGGAUUCGGAUCGUGGGCUCGUGGAUUCGAGUGGCGUCGUGGAUUCGGCGUGAUUGAAGCUUCGUGGAUUCGAAGUGGAGGCGUUCGUGGAUUCGGACGUGAGGGCGUGGACAACCCGGAGGGUAGCGCGAAGAUUCAUAGGAGGUUAAGAGAGGUUGAGUCCGUGGAGUCGGUAAUCACCUUGUAAUCUUUUCUCUUAGUGAAUUGUUUUUUCGCGUGUUGGUCCCGUGGGUUUUUCUCCAAGUUGGAGUUUUCCCACGUAAAUCUCGGUGUGCUUUUUAUUUUUCGCAUUUAUUUUUAUUGCAUCGAGAUUUGUGGUUUUUGGCCAUUACACCUAUUCACCCCCCUCUAGGUGAUAGAUACAAUCUAGAUAGAUCCUUGGGCUCCUCAAAACUUUCAUUAUGCUCAAGGAAGGUCGCUUCUCCUUGAGCGAUGAGCUCCGGAGUAGUCAUCUCAACUGGAUUAGGAGCUAGCGUCUCCCCCAGUAGACAGUCCCGUCGGGAUGUAGCUUGCGUCUCCCCGAUACUUGGGAUUUCGUCGAUGAGUUAAUGUUAACCAAAUGGUUAACCAAUUUAAUUGGGUAAUAAUUAUGAACAACAUGCAUGCAUCAAUUCAGAUAUUAUCUACUGUUUCUUUCAGCUUUGUACAGGCAUUGUAGUAGUUAUAUAUUAUAGCUGGUUACUAUAUAUUAUUUUUCUUGUCUACAUAUGUCUGAAUAGACCUAGUGGGUGAGUCGGCGAGGUCGGCGGCCGAACCCACUGGGAACUUUCAGUAGUUCUCACCCCACCAACCAUGCAGGUUCUAGUUCGUGCGGAGUGGUCGAGGAUCGUGACAGGGACCGCGCACUAUAGAUAGCGACAUCUAUUGAGUAUAGUUGUACCUUAUUUAUUUCAUAUGUUUAUAGUUGAUGAAAGCAAAUGUAAAUUAUUCAUUUGAGAGAUGGUAAUGUAGAUAUUGGAAGAAUGAAUGUAAUAAUUAUGCAAGCUUUGUAUUUGAUUUAAAGUAAUCAAAAUACAAUGUAUGAAUGCUUUAGUUAGUUUACUUUCACUUGCUUGAGUUGCUUGCCCUCGUGCAAGCCAUAUAUAUUGAAAUUUUUCUGGGCAUUUCUUUAUACAUGUUUGUUGUUGUUGUUGAGCCUUGGGCGAACAUACAAGGUUCUGUUCUUUCGGCGUCUAUGUACGGGCCCGAAUCGGCCAAAUUGGUGGGUUCGGGGCAUGACAAUAUAUAUAUAUAUAUAUAUAUAUAUAUAUAUAUAUAUAUAUAUAUAUAUAUAUAUAUAUAUGGAGUCGAGCUAGAAUACUAUCGAUAGCAAACGAGCUCCGUUGACGCCACCCAUUUGUUUUCUAUGAUGGAGCCUCCAAAUCGACGAUCGAAACUGUUGAUCAUAAUCUAUAUCACUUGAAGUGUUUAGAAAUCAAAUUUCAUACAUUUUCAAUAUUGUUCUCUUGUCCAUCGAGUGGACACAAAAAUGAACGGCUGAAAAUGAAUAUUUUUUAAAAAAUGAUGAUAGGAGUCUUGUAAUCAAGAUCAAGAGUAUAGAUCUUGUUUUAUAUAGUUUAAAAAAUUUUCUAACAAAAAUUCAAUUGGUUUGGAUAUCUUUACACCGUUAAACGAGAACACGCAUCAUAUCAAUCGUUAAAAUUACAAAUUUUAAAACCCUUUGAUCAUUAGGCAAAUGAUGUAGAAAAGAUUUAAAUUUUGAUUUCUAAACACUUUAACUGGUACAGAUCAUGUUCAACGAUACCGAUCGUUGAUUUGGAGGCUCUAUCAUUGAAAACAAAUUGAUAGCAACGGAGCUCGUUUGCUAUCGAUAGUAUUCUAGCUCAACUCUAUAUAAAUGUAUGUACAAAUAUGUAUGUACAUACAUAUAUAUGGCAGAAACUUUUAGAGGUUGGAAUUUCAUUAUUUCAAUUGGAAUAUGGGCCGAGAUUUUCAUUUUCCCACUCUGGCCUACACCCAACAACCUAUCUCCUAUCAAGGCUCUUAUACACAAUAGCAUAGCCAAUCUAUGCAAUGAAACAAAGUGAGGUAGAGUAGAAUCAUUAGUUAGGGUAGUGGGAUCUAAUUCCUCUCUUUCCGCCUUUUCAAGGUCUUCUUCCUUCAUCCUCCAUCCCCACUACGAGGGCCGACGGGAAUAUGUUUACCUAUUCAGUAGCCAGUUCCCUUUCAGUUCAUUUGGGUAUCCUGGGAAGAUGAAGAGACAAACUUCGGAAUUCAAUUAAAGAGAAAUUCGGCAAGAAGCUUUCCGAUUGGAAAGAUGUCGAACCAAUCUACUUUUGCAUUUUUAUCUUCGCUGCACAGACAAGAAAAAAAGGGUUAAUAAGACAAGCGAGAAGAUCUUGGUCUUUUAUUGGUUACAGUGCAAAAUGUACGGCUAUAAACUAAACGUAGUACUGUUGGCAUUGCUCUUUUCGGAGCUGGUUGCGUUCCAUUCUAAUCAAGUAAAUCACCCAAAGACAUUUAACAAAACUUUGCAGGACAUCCAAUUGAAAAGCCCGCAUACCAUAGCAUCUGUGCGCUCUCGUGCCUACGUAGCUAUCAUAAUAAUAGAAAUAAAAAACAUUGUCCAACUAGCUCAUCAUCGAUCAAAUGUUCGCAGAGAGCUCCGUACGUGGUGGUGGCAAAUCAAUUAAUGGAUCUUUAAUAGCUAGUUUGUCGGCAACCAUAAAAUGAAAUGAUGUGAUGAGGACAACAAAUCACUAAUUAAUCACUGCCCAUAGCUUGCUAGCUAGCUUGCUCCUUUAAAUGAUUAUAUAUCACGAUCGGCCUACCAAUUAAAGAUCAUUUUCCCAACUGCCACCUCCAAGUCCUAGGAUGUAUUAUUCUUUAAUCACAUACGUAGGAAAUUAACCUAAGCUGCUACAAUAUAUAUAUAUAUAUAUAUAUAUAUAUAUAUAUAUAUUUAUAUAUGAUAUGAUCCACUCUGUUAAUAUGAUCUAGAGUAUUAGAAACUUCUAGAAAAUAAAUUUCGUAAUUUUCGAAAUCAUAAUAAAAUCCAUCAAGUGAGCAUAAAUGAACGGUCAAAAUCGAACGACGUCCUAAAAAAAGAUGAUCGGAUCCUUCAAUUCAAGAUCAGAAUUAUUGAUAUUUAUCUAUGUAGUGAAUAGAAUUUUCUAUCAAAAAUUCAAUAAAUUUCGAUUCUUUUAUACCGUUAAACUAGCAAGUAUCUCACACCGGCCGUUAAAAAUUGUCAAAUUUGUGACCUCUUGAUCGUAAGGUAAAUGAUGUCGAAAAAUUAUAAAAUUUAAUUUCUAGAAGUUUUAAAUGGUGUAAAUAACGUUUAACGGUGUGGAUCAUCGAUUCGGAAGCUCUAUCAUCGAAAAUAACUUAUGAGUACGAGGGCGAUCGUACUCAUAAUAGUAUAGUAGCCGGACCCUCUAUAUAUAUAUAUAUAUAUAUAUAUUAACUUGUUGCUGGCCAUCUAUUUGCAAACCCAGUUGUAGUAGUUUGCGGAAAUACUCUGCAGAAGUAGCAUACAUUGUCCGAGUAGUAUGACAAACUUUUUCGUUAAAACGCCCAACAACUGCUCUAUCAGUAGCUAGUUGUCGCGAAAUAUCCGAAUUGAAACUUUAUUUUAUUCUAGGGGUACAGAAGCUGAUUCCUCUAGUAGAAAUCACUGCAACAGAAUGUAGAAGCUGAAGCUAAGAGAAUAAGGGCACCAAAUCACUCAUCCAAGAUAUUAAGUGGCUGAACGGAAGGGAAAACUUCUGAAAGUAACUGUGACCGACGAAUGCAAAUAAAACAUGAAUCUUUCUUAUAGCGAGAAACACGGGAGAUAGACUCUAUAAAGGUCUUUGUUUCUGUUCCUGUGAACUUCCUUAUAAUAAUUAACAUGAAGCACAAUGCUCUCCAAAUGAAUCCUUAGCUAGAGCAUCUUCAUGAAUUAACAUAUUGGUGUUCAGGAAAGGAUUGGCGGUGGGUCCACAUAGAUAAUAUACAGAGGCACAAUUGCAGAUGGCUUUUACUCUCUCUUCGUAGAACAUUUUUUUGAGAAAAAGGUAAUAUGCUACUCGCUUCAUUUAUUGAAAAGAUGAAUUGUACUACAGGAGUGAGGCAGCCGGGCCUCUUAAAAAAAAAAAAAAGAAAAAAAAAAAGUUAAAUAUUAUGAAUGACAUUGAACAAAACCUCCAGCUGUAUAACAUUGAACAAAACCUCCUGCUGUAUGAAUGAGCUCCCUGGAUGGUUAGUUUGUUCAUAAAUACUUUGUUUUUGUUCGCUAUGUUUAUGUUUUCUGUUAUUUUAAAAAUAUUAAUUAAAAUCAUGAUGAACACUUAAAAAAAAAAAAUGUUACAUGAGGGGGCAUCCUAGAAGUCCUCGUUUGAGACUAUUAGAACGUACUGAAUACACUGAUCAUACCUAAUGCAAUUGAUCACGAAUUUAAUAAUUGAUAUCGAAAAUUUUAGUUGUUUUGCAUUUCUCGCUAAGCUUAUUUUCAAAAGAUAAAUACAUAGCAUGCUACCUGGAAGGAAAAAAAAAAAACAAAGAUUGAUGGUUGACGCAGCAGUACAUUAACACUAAUUUGGAAGCAAAGAAGAUAAAAGGGAAAAUUCCGUGACUUCAUCCAAUUACGGUAUGAAGACCCCUCAAUUUACAUAUAGCCAUUCUGAAAUUAUCCCCUUAAUAUUUUUAUUUUUAUUUUAUUUUUCUGUUGGCACAUGGUAACUUAAUUCGAAAUUUUUAGAUUGGUGAUUCAAGUGAAUUAAAUUAAUUUUUUUUAAGAAAUCCAUAGACAAAUUCUCUCAUAUUUCAUUAGUUUGCUAAUUACAGAGCCAUUGAAUUUAAGAAAUUUUUAAAUAACCAGAGUGUUUAUUUUUAUAAAUUGAAUUAUUCUACUAAGCUAAUCCGAUUUUUCUUGGUAAAUGUAAUUGUUCAAUUAGCUAUUGGUCACCGAUAUAUUGUUUCAAUUUUAUUUACUAUUAAGUAACAAAUAAAGUCAUUAAAUUUGAUAGAAUUAAAUUAUGAAUUUUUGAAAAAGAAGCAAAUUUAACUGAUUUAAAUCACACAAUUUGAAAAUUUCAGAAGUUAACCUGUCUCAACAAAAAAAAGUCAAGGGGUUAGUUUCACAAUGGCCUUUAGUUGACGUGUCCACAUACAUACCUUAAUUGAGCGGCUUCAUGGUACUUGUGACUUUAUCAUGUCGCUUUCAAAUUGGUGCUAACUUCAAUUGGUAUUUGAUAUUUUAUUUAUUGUUUAAAAAUAAAUAUACUUAGAAAUGGAAAAAAAAAUUUUAAAUUUCGAAUUUAAAAAUUUGAGUGCUAUUCAUUAAGUUUUUAGCCAACUGUGCGAGAUACGAUAGAUCCUUCUAUAUAAGUUUGGGUUCAGAAAACUUCAAUGAUAUUUGAUAUUUUAUACGAGUACUAUCAUGACGACUUUUUAAUUCUAAUUAAAAAAGGGUUGAAGAAUUUCACAAGAACAUGUGUCAACAUUUAUGGCACUUGUAAUCCUAUCCUAAUGCAAGCUCUUGCUUUACUUAAUUACCACAAAAUAAAAGGUACAAGGACUAAUGCACUUUUGACUUGCAUGGUUAAUCCAUCUACAAAGAAAACCUCUUUGAGCACUCGUUCUCUCUCUCUCUCUCUCUCUCUCUCUCUCUCUAUAUAGGUCAAAUUUUAACCUUCUCUUGCUGAAGUGUAUAUAUAUCUUCCUCACCAACCAAUAUGAAAUUACUGCUUUAAUUUAUUAUUAUAUAAAUAAUUAAGUCCCUAAUCACGAUCUUAUUUGUUUCCACUUUUCGUAGGAAGAUCAAAGAGGAUUAGGAUGCCAAUUUUGGAGAUCUUCCAAAUCACAAGAAAGGCCCACCAAAUGGCGAAUUUCGUUCUUGAAUAGACGUAAAUUAUUGUAUUACUGACCGCGGACGAUCCUAAUCUCGCCAUUUAACCAUUAUAUUAUCUUAAUUCGUAUCUUUCCAAACUGCUUAAUUGCUUUUGAGUCAAAGUUAAUUGCGGUGAUAUCUCACCUUUUAGGAUACGUUCAAAGCUUGUGUUAAUGAUCCACGCAAUGUGCACGAACGCAUUUCAAAUUAAGAAUGAUGAUGUACAGCAAAAGACAUUAUUAGCUCGCUAGCCCGUUUCCAUUAAUAAAGAAAAGGAUGAAGAGAGUCCUGGAAUUGAUCCCAUGACAUAAAUAUAUAUAAUACGCCCCAAAUUAAUUAGUGCUUAAUUUAAUUUGGGGACAUGACAAUUUAAGUACCACCUAAAAUAGGAGGUACUUUUAAAUCUAUGUAAUCAAAUAGGUCUUUAGGGUCAUACCGCAUUGGAGAAUAAUUCAAACCGCCUAUAAUAGAGCUCAUUGGUCCCUGAAUUAUAAUAAGAAAAUGCUUAGGUGUACACCAAAAAUUGAUUGGGGAUGUGAUCACAAAUUAUUCAUUUGAGAUUUUUUUUCUGGUGAUGUAAUUUCAAAUGGUCCGUUUGAGACUAUGAAAUCUGUUGCCACGUAGGUGUCGAAUCUCACUCCUUGAGAUACCCUCCUUAAUUAGAACUAGUGUAGGUACCCGCGCGAUGCGGCGGGUAGUUACUGCUAAAGUAAAAAAAUUUAUAAAUAAUAAAAUAUGAGCAUAAGUAAAUUAAAUUAUAGUAUGCCAGUAUUAAAAUAUUAGUUCACAAUGGAGAGCAUUGUAGUAAAAUUUUAGAAAGAGUAAAAUAUCAACAAAAGUAAUAGUUAUAUGCAGUGAGCUAUAGCCAACACAAAAACUUGAGUGACAGGCAAUAAAAGCAAAGACAAUAGAAGAGGCCACUGCAAAAUUUUGAAAAAAAAAUCACUUCUCAGCUUCAGAUAUAAUUGAACUGCGCUGCUGAGGAGGAAAAAUCAAAGGAACCUUCCUAACAGUUUACCGGAUCGACUCGGAUUGUCCAUGGAACAUUCCAUAUCAUCAAUCUCUCAAAUCAAACAUUAAAAAAAAAAAGGAAAAAAAAAGAAGAAGAAAGCAAUUCAAAUUAAUAUUUUGUUGUGCAUACUUCACAGCCUACCAUUCCAUUCCUUAAACAAAUGAAAUAGAAGGAAAAACUACCAAUCGAAUGGGAAAUUAGAAAAAACGAAGCAAAUAUUUUGAUGCUACAAAAAGAAUAGGGCAAUAACAUGAGAAGUAGACCAUCAAGAGAAAAUAAUAAUCUGGAAGAAUAUUCCAGGAGCCAACCAUCAAGAUUGACUGUCACGCCCCGGGACCGAUACCAAUUUGGCCCGACCCGAGCACGUCAAACAGACGCCGAACGGACAGAGUUUCCCCUAUCCGCCCAAGGCUCAUCACAUGUACAAAUUCAAACAAGAAAUGCACUAGCGGAAACAUACACAAACAGCUUAGACGAGGGUAAGCAAUAGCUAUUAGUGAAAGAAAGGAAAACUAAACAAUUACUUGUACUAUGAUUCAUUUUUGAUCAUAUACAUUGCAUCCAUUUACAUUCAUGAUUCUUGGUACUUCAUUAUACAUUGCAUUCAUUGUUCAUUUUCGAAUUCCUUACAAUUCAUUCUAUCAUUUCUUUCUUACAUCACAUUUACCUCAAAAUACACAUUACAUUUUUUUCUUUACAUCACUAGUCAUCAAAUACAAAAGAUGAACAUAGGGUGGAUACUAACAAAAUGUAACCCAACUCUGGUGGCCUCUGUCUAAGGCGCGAUACCUUUACCUCGGUCGCUCGCCGGCUCUGUGGAAUAGUGGGGUGAGAACUACAACAAAGUUUCCAGUGGUUUGGCCUCAACAUCACCGACUUUCCCACUAGACUAACUCAGGCAUAAUAGAAGGAAUAAGCUGCAUAUAGUAACCAAUCUAUACAUGACGCUAAUAUGCCUGAGCAAUAAAGCCAGAAAUAUGCUCAACAUUAAAUAAAUGCAGAUUAUGCAAAUUUCUUUGUUCUUUUCACGUUACUCUUUGUUCUUUGCUCUUUGUUCUUUAUUCUUUAUUCUUUAAUCUCAAGGCUAACCCGAAGUAUCGCCACUUAACUCUUCACAUUAAGUCCAUCAUCGCAGGAACUCACUCGCUAGGACCGUCCUUCGGGUUUACUCCAAACCCGUGAUGCAUAACUCGGAGCGCAUCGCCCGAGGGGAGCGACCGCCCUCGAGCACGGAACUCAUAGCAAGUAUGAUCAUAUCCUUAACUCAAAGGAUUUAUAGGUUCAAUCUUGACUUUACACUAGCUUUAGUGUUCAUUGCAUCAUUUAUGUUGCUAACUCUAGCAAUUAUAUUCUUUACAUUCUUUACUUUGCUACCUCUAGCACUUCACGUUCUUUACUCCCCACAUUACUUUAACUUUAAACAUUGUCAUUUUCAUCAUUCUUUACAAUACAUUGUUCUUUACCUCACACUGUCUUUAGUGUCAUUUCACUUUAACUUGUAUCGAAGCCACUCGAUCUAUGUCAUUGUGUCACUCUGUUCUUUUGCUCACUUUGGGUGCUCACUUUUCUCUCAUGCAUACACAUAGGGUUUUACAUUCAUAAGGUUCUCAACAAUCACAUUAGACAAGUUGUACUCACAAUCAUGCAACAUCUCGUUCUCAUCAUCACUUUACCCUAAAAUGCAUGCAACAAUUACGUAACAUAUGCUCAAUUGAAUGACACAUUAGGCAUAGAGAGAAGUUCAAUGAGUUUGAGAAGCACCACCCACCUUGUAGGUCUAUUUAGGUGCUCUGAUGAUUUUCUUGAGAUUUUUAGACCUUUCGUUCUUCACCUGCGGCAUAACGAAGCCAAGUUAGGCUUAUUUGGCCAUAACUUUACAUUGGCUUUUCGUAACAUUAAUCCGAGCGCACCAACGCGUCGGAAAUACCCCCAAUUAGGUUUCUAGAGGGUCAAUUGCACUUAGAAAUCCCAAUGAGCAAAAGCCCCAAUUUGGUGCCCUAGCUCCAAUACAUAUAUCAAACCUAGGGUUUGAUCUCAUUGGGAAGCAAAAGUAGCUUCAAUAUACUCUAAAGAGUUCAUCUAAACCAUUCCUAGCUCAUUCCAAACCCUAGUUUGGAUUUCACCAUUAGAGGUGUUGAAGCUCACCUUCAAGCUUCACCUCUAUACCAAACCAUGGUUUUGAUCUCAAAAGAAGCAAAAAGAAAGCUUCAAUGACUCUAAAUAAUUCAUUAAAACCAUUUCUAGGCUCAUUCAAAACUCAUUCUAGGGUUUUACUAUACUAGGGAUCAAAGUUUACCUCAAAGCUUUCCCUAAGAUGCUCCAAGGAGGGAGAAGAAGAGGUAGGCUCACUACUUGAUCUUCUUCUUCACCUUCUUUUCCUUCUUUUCCUUCCUUUCUUUCUUUCUUCUUCUUCUCCUUUGUCUUGUAGAGAGAGAGGGGGAGAAAAGAGAGUGUGUGUGAGGGAGAGAAUGAGAGAAAAGGCUCUCUCAGCCCCCAACAAAACCCAUGGGUUGCAAAAAUGCAAAUAAACCCCUCAACUUUUACUUUAAUACACUGCCCGAACUGGACAGUUCGCGCAGCCGGGGACCGGUCUCUCCUUCAGGGACCGGUUCCCGAAAGUCGUCCCAGCGCAGCCAGAGCUGCUGCGCGCAGUGCAACUGGUCUCUCCUUGGGGGACCGGUCUCUCGGGGACCGGUCUCUCAGGCAGGGACCGGUUCCCGAGAGCUGGUUUCUCAGGACUUAGCCUAUUUUUCGGCUGUCUCAUUUCUCGCGCGUUCGGGAACCGGUCUCUCC